AUGCUCAUGCACCAACGCCCGAGCUCUUUGCUUCUCGUCAAGCCAUCCACCGUCACAGGCGUCAUCGGCGACCAGAAGCCUCCUCGUCGCCCCUCGAGCGGGAGUGCAACUCCAGCGCCCAUGGCCUCUGCCGCGCCGGAGCUUUGCUGCCACAGGCGACAGCAACAACAACUCUCGUGCGUGUGUCCACUGAACCCCGUCGCCCUCCAUCUACAUCGCCGGCGACCACCUGCAGGAGCCCCGAGGAGUUUUGCGCCGGCCAUCCUCGUCCUCCGCGCCUACAUCAGCUCCAGGACAGGAUCCCCUCGAUCCCGUGCUCUUCGUUGA
rnacentral:rRNA from 1 species